CAUAUAUACAGUGGAUGUGGCUCGUGGCUGAUGGCUCUCCAUAUAUAGUCUCUGUUACUUAAGAAUCUCAAUACAGUAGUUAUCCAAUGCAAUGUACUUGUGAUGUAAUACCAAUUGCUAGCUAGUGCCAGCUCUGUUGCAUGAAAACUUGAAGCAAUGUUUUCAGAAGCUUUCAUGUUGGGUUGAAUAAAUUCAUGAGAAUUCUAACGAUAGGUUUCCAAUUAAAUGAGAUUUGUUUGAUGCUAUGUCGUAAUGUGCAAAUGACUUCCUUCUCUUCAUGGUAUCCAAGUUGCUAGGCCCAAAAGGAUUAAUGAAUUCAUUAGAAAUCUAAUAAGAUUUGAUUCAAAUGGUAUCCCCCUUGCUUAAUUAGUUAAUUAUCCGAGAAAUCAAGGGAGCUGAAAUUAUUCAGUAUGUUGCAUAAACCAAACAAGACAUAUAUGGUUAAACAAGUUUAAAAUCGUUUAGGUAUCUAAUUCUAACAAAAUAAGAUUUUAAUUUUUGAAAUUAAGUAAUUAGACUAGACCAUAAAAUGAUUUAGACCAUAAUAUGUAUAACUCAUGUAUUUUGGAAAGUCGUCUUGUAAAUAUUUAAAGGUUGUAAUGUAUAUGAAAGACAAUAUACUAUGGCCAUUCAUUUUCUCUUAUAUGGUAUCAUAGCUAUUCUAGCUCCCACGAGUUUCUUUUCACCAUGACCGAUGCAAACUCUUUGCCAACAAUGAACCUCAACCAUCUAUCUAGUUGCCUUCAACGUAGUUAGUCGACUUCUACUCAAGCUUCCUCCCGCUAACUAUUAUUCAUGGAAAUCUUUGAUGCCCUGCUCUUGGCUAUGGUUUACUUGACGGAACUAAUCCCUGUCCCUCCUCCGAAAUCACAAUUGAUGACAAGCAAAAUUUGAAUCCUAACUACAGUUUAUUGAUAAGAAAGGACAAACUUCUGCUUCUAGGGGUUAAAGUUGUUCAUGUGGUUCUUUCAUGCAAAACCUCUACUGAAACAUGGGAUCAUCUUGCCGAGCUUUAUGCCGAUCCCUUAUCCUCCAGAACCAUGGGAUUCACAGAGCAACUCACUUUUCUCAACCGUGGCUCCCAACCCAUUGCUAAUUAUCUUGUUGUUCACGAUAGUGCUGAUGAACUCUAUCUUCUUGGGGCACCCAUUCCAAACCAAUAUCCCAUCACUCACACACUCGAUGGUAUUGGUAAUGAAUUCAAAGAAAUUUUUGUAGUUGUACAAGCAUGGGAUACUGUGAUCACCUUUGUUGAGCUGCAUGACAAAUUAGUAAAGUCUGAAGCCUUCUCAUGUGAGAAGAGCUUCAUGCUAUCAGGAACCUUGGUGGUAUUACUGUUAACAAUGCCCAAUCCUCAUAUUUCAAUAGGGACCAAAACCCUAUCAAGAAAUCUUUUCCCAACAAGAGAGGACAACAAGGUUCACACCCUCUCAUUCGGGGAUAAAAAAACCAACAAGAAUGCCACGAAUCACAUAAUAAGCAAGAAUGCCCCAGUAAUAUGACAAUUCUAUGAGAAGAAAGGCUACAUUACUUGCCAAUGUUAUAUUGCUAAUUAGAAAUCGUUCCUUUCAUCCAACCCUACUGCCAACCCAACUAUCAACACCAACACCUCCUCACCUAGUUGGCUCUUGGAUAUCAGUGCCUCCUAUCACGUUUCAUCGAAUCUAAACAGCUUAUCUCUUCACCAACCAUACAAGGGUCCAAAUGAUAUCUUCAUUAGUGAUGGUAGAGGUUUAAACAUUACUCAUGUUGGCAAGACAACUCUCUCCACUCCAUCUCAUUCGUUCUUUCUCUCUCUCGCUAAUGUCUUGUGUGUUCCAACUAUGAAACAAAACCUAAUUUAUGUCUCUCAAUUCUGCAAGACAAAUAAUGCUUCCAUUGAAUUUAACCCCUCCUCUUUUUGUGUGAAGGAUCUAACCAUGGGGGCACUCCUGCCUUGGGGAUGUAGCAAGAAUAAUGUCUAUGAGUGGUCAAUUAAAGAUGCUUCCACUGAAAGGAUCAAACGAGCUUGCAUUGGUGUCAAAAGGUCUCUAAAUUUUUACACCAAAUUGCCUUCUCAGAAUAAUCUUUCAGUUUCUUCCAUGCACAAUACCUUAUCAGAGGAUUUAAGUAAAUAAUUAGGGUUUGUUUGUCAACCAUUUUCCCCAAAGUGGUUUUCUAUUUUUGAGAACUACUAAGAAGAAAAAGAGAAAAAUAUAUUUGAUAAUGACUAAAUAUGAAUUAUUAAAAACUAUUUUCUAAGUAACAUUUCAAAAAUAUUAUCAAAAUGCACUAUUAAACCCUUAAUCUAUAUAAAUCUUAAAUGGGAAACAAAUCAAAUGAACUUCAAAUGCAUCUCUACAGUAAAAAAGGAGCUACGAGAAUUUGACCGGAUUGAUGACCAAAAAGACCAAGAAUUUGUUGAAUGUGAAAUCAACAACUUCCAAAUUAUAAUGUUUUCUAUUCAAUCAAAAAAUAAAAAAAUAAAAAAAAUAAAAAUCAAAUGUUGUGAUGUCAAGUGAAUAUAAUUGUAGUUGUUAGUACUACUUGCUGAAUAUAUGUAGUGUAUACUAUUGCCUCCUUUGUAUUAAUCUCAUUGAUAAGGGUGAGUAAUGAUUACAAUUCAUCAAAAUUUUAUAAUAUAAUCCUAAUAAAUUAAAUCAAUGUGAUAAGGAAUGUGUUUCACUUAAAUAAACAUUAUUCUAUCCCAAAACUUUCAUUAAAAUUUAUUCCAAUUUAACUAUUUAUAUUAUUUUUUUUAUUGCAAUCAAAGAUGUGAAUUUAAUAAUUUAGGCACUAAAGAAUGUGAUUUCAAUGCUCAUUUCUAAUUUUAUUGAUUGAAAUAAUUACAUUGGACGAGUAUUGAAAUGCUUUGAUUAUAAACUUGCUCUUGAUGUUGGCACAUGUGGAGAAUGUCUCAUGAUAAUGAUUUGGUCCACUAAAAUUUUGAUAUUUAGUCCUAAAUGUAGUACAAUUUAUAUGAAUGAGUUCUUUUCUUCUUCUUCUUCAUUUUUUUAUUUUUAAUAUUCUGGAGAAAGAGAGAGAAAAUUCAAUAAUGGAAAUUAACAUUUUCAAAAAAGGUUAAAUUAUUAUCCGAUUGUUAAAGAUAAAUUAGAUUAUUUAAAAAAUUCAUCAUAUCUAUACUUCAUUUAAAUGACCACAAAAUAUUCGAUGAGUAUAUUUUAGUUGACAUUGGGAGUCUUGUAAAUUCAUCUUAUUGAUAACAUAUAUAAAUUAUCAAUUACAUAUUAAUUGAAAUCAUAUAAAAACCACUUUGGAUUAUAUAAGUUAUAUAUAUAUAUAUAUAAGACAUUUAGGUAUAAAAAGUACUAUUGUUAAAUGUAUGCUCUAAUAAAAAAAAUACUUGUCCAUUUUAUUUUUAUUUUUCUUUUUUGUUAAUUAAAAACCACCUGAUUUAUUAAGGUGAUAAUACGUUUUUAAAAUUUUUGUUAUUUAUGGAAAAACUAAAUCCUUAUAAUAAGAUAACUAAUCUUUAGGGAUUUUUCUUUUUUCCUUUUUAAAAAAAUUAGAACUCAUUUGUGUUGUCUAUGAAAUGAAAUUAAUUAAUUUAUUUGUGAGAUAUAAAGCAAUUUAUAUGAUACUUCACCCAACAAAAGUUUGACAUGAAAUGCAUUAGAGAUGGGCAAUAUCCACUUGAAUGUUUAGAUUACCAUCAAUAACUAUGCCCAAAGUUUGUUUUAGAAUGGGUCUAAAGGUCACAUUACCUCUCCAUAUAUAGAAAAUCAAAAUUCAUGAAAGUCAAUUUUCUUCUUCUUAGUCUGAAUGUCACAUAGUCUUGAAUUUUUGGCACAAAGCUAAUAACUAGAGAUUUGUAGAAAGGCCAAUCUUACAAGACAAAAAUGUAAAACUUACACAUUAUUGAUGUGGCAUUGAAUUGUGUUGAAAUGGCUAUUGGAGGCAACACCUACAAGAGUAGUAGAGAAAGCAUGAAAUCUUGAAAGACAAACUUUCAUUACAAGUUAUAUAUGAAUGAUCAAAAUAAGACCAUAAAAAUGAAAAGGUCAUAAGAGAAGGUUAUAUUGUAAUUCCUACAACAAAAUCUCAUAGGAGAUUUUUUGGCAUCAACAAAAGCUUAAAGCCUAUUAUCAGUUUUUUUUUUUUAAUUGUUCGGGAGUUGGGAAUUGCCCCUAAAACUUGGAAGAAAAAUAUUGCACUAGAAAUUAGGAAUUAUUAGGUUGUUUCUUGAUUGAUCAUGCAUACGGUAUGCUAAAUAAUGAGUAUGAGAUAGAAUGGAGAAACAAGUCAUUUCAAUAUAAAGGAGGUAUCAAAGUCAUUUUGAUACUAGGAGGAAAUCAGUGUUGGAAGGCUCUUUGGAAAUUAUCAUUUUGAUAAAGUUCAAGGCAUAUGAGUAGUAGAAAUUGGAUGUCUGAUGCCCUUUUUCAAACCUAUUUUGAUACCAGAAUGUGUUCUAUUGAAAUUUUGAUAAAUCACCUAGAGAGUCAAGACUUAGUUUCCUUCAUCGGUUAUAGUCAAUAACAUUUGGACAUAAUUUUGAUACUCAAAAACCUUUGUAGGAUAUUUUGAUACCAAUGGGGAUGACAGACUCAUUUAUCAAAUUUUCACUACCAAAAAUUAAUGUCUACACCAAACCGAUAUAAGCUCAAGAUUUUGGCAAACACUUGCAUUUUUGCAUUUUGAUACCACAAAAAUUAUAUAGAAUAUGUUAUGUUUUUUAAAAACUAAUAGAACAACAUUUUUUUUUAUCAUUGUUUCAAAAGAAAAAUAAAAGUUCAUGAUAUUUUUUUUUAAAUUAUAUAUUUUUAAUAUGCAUUCUAUUUGAUGUUGGACUUUACACAUGAUGUCUCAAUAUUCUUUUACUAAUAAAAACAUGUGAUGGCAAGGUGGUAAUAUGAAGGUUGUUGAGUGUAAUGACAGUCUUGUAUAACUUAACUGCUUAGAGUAUAUAAUCAUCACUACUCUUUAACAUUCAUAACUGUCUCUCUUUCCAACCAAUAACUAACUCUCGCUUCCUCUCACUUUCCCUAGAAAAUUCAACUUUCUAGCUUUCACCCAUCUGAGACAAUCUUAUAAUUUGGUAGUUGUUGAUUUCACAUUCAACAAUUUCUUGGUGUUUUUGGUCAUCAAUCCUGUAAAAUUCUCCUAACCCUUUUAUUUCUUCCUUUCUUUGGUUCUUUCUUAAUUUCUGUAGAGAUCCAUUUCAAGUUCAUUUGCUUUGUUUCCUGUAUAAGAUUCAUAUCUGUUUCUCUAUCACUUUCUCUCAGUUUCGUUCACUUUCUCCAGAAAAUUAAUUUUUUCAAGUUUGCUAGUUUUCAUGAAUCUGAUGACUUGGCUGUACUCGAUUUCACAUUCAACAAUUUCUUGGUCUUUUUGGUCAUAUAUCUGUAAAAAUUCUCCAAACCUUUUUCUUUCUUUCUUUCUGGAGAGAUCCAUUUCAAGUUCAUUUGCUUUCUUUCCUAUAUGAGAUGAGAUUCAUAACUGUUUUUCUCUCACUUUCGCUCACUUUCUCCAGAAAAUUAAAUUCAAGCUUGGUAGCUUUCAAGAAUCUGAUAGCUUGGGUAUCGUUGAUUUCACAUUCAGUAAUUUCUUCUGAGUCUUGUUCAUCAUCGAUUAGGUACAAAUAUAUUAACUAAUCCUUUCUUUCUUUUUUUGGAUAUCUUAACACAUCCGUAACUGUUUGGUUCUCAGUUUCUUGGUCGUGGAAGUUGUUGCUUUCAAAUUAAUCUUAUUGAAUCCUUUUUUACAAUAUUUUUAUUCUUUCUCUCAAACUUAAUUCUAAAUGCAUGGGUUAAGGAGAGUGAUAGUUCCGGCAACAACCAUGGCAAUACAAAAUCCCAGCGACCCAAUUCCAACACAAAAUCCCAGCGACCCAAUUCCAACACAAAAUCCCAGCAACCCAAUUCCAACACAAAAUCCCAGCGACCCAAUUCCAACACAAAAUCCCGACCCAACUCCAAUAUGGAUCAGCUGUAACCACUGCCGUCGACGCUUUGUUAGCAUGCAAAACAUUCAAGUAUGUCUCUCCUUGCCAUGACUUGCAAUGAAUGCACUUGUUUUAAUUGGACUAUUUUAUGUUUCACAUUUCUUGUAUAUUUCUUUGAUGAAUGUUCUCCUUGUAGGCUGUUGUUGUACAAGCCAGGGAUCCCAGUUCUAUCUACUAUGUGGCUGAUGAUUCGUAUGUUUUCUUUAUUGGUUGAAAAGAAAGACAGAUCCAUUGUUAUUCAUUUCAAUUAAUAUAUAUAUAUAAGCCUACAUUUGUGUUUUGUUCAUGGAUGCAGUUAUCGCAUAUUCCGUCCUGGCAUAUUCAGUCAUCCCAAAGAAGUAAGUUUUGAAUGGAUUAGGGCUGCCAAUCAGACGACUAAUCUUGUCGUGGGCCGUAUGUACUGUUCCAAAUGCGCACAACCUGCUGGCUGGAAAGUCGUAAGAAAUACCAUUCACUUGUUGCUGUGAAUUUUCUGUUUUAUGUGCUGGCAAGUUAAUUUUAAUCUCACAUGCAGCUUGAGGGGAGCCAAUGGCACCCUGCUAUCCGUGCAGGCCAGGUUUUGCUGCCAGUUCCUCCUGCUCGUCCUCGCUACUAAGAAUCUCAAUGCAGUUGUCCAAUGUGAUAAACACGUGGGUGCAAUAUCAAGUGAAUAAAAUUUGAAACUUGAAGUAGGAUUACAAUUGCAUGCAACGAUGCAUGUCUUAGUCAUUUGUUCCUUCAGCAGAAUGUUUUCAGAAGCUUUUAUGUUGGGAUGAAUAAAUUCUUGAGAAACCUAAUAAUAGAUAAGAUACGUUUGAUGUUGUUUGGUAAUGCGGAAAUGAGUUCCUUUCUUCUUGCUCUCCAGGUUGCAAUGCCUAAAAGCAUUGAACAUUUGACCCAUUAAUGCCUCAAAAUGGUUCAAUUAAUUCCAUAUGGAAGAUACUUGAAAUUUUUUACUGUUGCCUUAUCUUUAUCUGAUUCUUUGAGUUUAAUCAUGGCAUCACUGUCAAUUGCACUUUGACAACCCUUGAUGAACAAAAAAAACUUUCAUCUUGAUUCUUCAUAGACUAAAAUCAUUAUCCCCUAUGAAUUUAUCCCUUUCCUCAAACAGUUUGUAAUCUGAAGGUCCCAUGUUCGAUCCACACUCAUCGCACCAAUUGUCGUGUAAAAAUACUCGCACCAGAAAUUCAAAGAAAGCAAAACAAAAAAGAAUCAAAGAACAACACAAUUACGUGGUUUAGAUAAUGUGCCCUACAUCCACGGAUGCAUACACUGUAGAGUCAAUUUCAUUGAUGAACAGUUUUCAGUACAAGCUUAUUACAAUUUUCUUCCUUUAUUCUAUUUGAUUUCCCAGAAAUACUUACCAAGAAAAUCUUCUCUAUUUUCUCUCAAACACUCCCCAAAGCUUUUCAAGAAAUCAAGUAAGUUUCUAUUCUAUUACAACAGUUUGUAUACCCCUAUAUAUUAGCACCAUAUAAGACUAACUGAUAUAACAACUUCUAAUAGAAACAACCAGCUUUGGCCUAUGUAGCACUCAAUACAAAUCCUGAACCGAUCAUCUCAAUGGUUUAUAAGUCUCUAUAAUUAUACUAUAUUUUGUUUAUUUUUCAUCGUUUUAAUUAAAAAGUGGGAAAAAGACAUCCCAGAUUUUAACAAGAAAAUUAAUUAGGAGCUAAAUCUCUAAUUUGGGCAGUAUGUAUACAAUUCUCUCUCUCACUCUCUCAUCUGGAGAAGCUCAUAUAUAUUGUCUACUUGAAAGUUCUUGAAUCUCUUCAUCAAUAAAUGAUUGAAUGAUCUUUCUUCUUUUGUGAAGAGUUGAAGUAAAUAAGCAGUAAAAACCCAUCAAGAAGUUGAUAUAAUUCCCAUUGAUUUAUACAUUUGCGUCCAAGUUGAGAUGUCCCUUAAUUAUCAUCUCAACGGGUUCUAUGGAUGUCCCUCUUGCUUCACCGGCUUCGGUUUGAGACAUGAUGUUAUCUGCCCAGUGCCCAGUACUAUGCAUCGAUGCAGAGUGAAUCUAAGCUAUGGAGGAGUACAAAGUCGAUUUCAUGCUAUGGAGGAGUACAAAGUGAAUCUAUGAAUCGAUGCAGAGUGAAUCUAAGCUAUAGAGGUUAUGUUGUAAUUCAUGCAUUUGGAAAUAUUUCUCUCAUUGUAGCAUUUGAUUGAAUUAAUGAUGUUACAUUGUAGUCAAUACAGGUUCCCUAUCAUUUUGAACAUAUUCCAUCCCCAUUUGAAAAAAAAGAAAAUUUAAAUUAAAGAGGGGUAUGAAAAAAUUCCCCUGAUUAUUCCAAAAAGCCCACUCCAUUUUUAUGUCUAGAUUGAGGCAUUACUGCCAGUAAAAGAGGAUGGGGAGCAGUUAUUCUUAUGUGGAAUUAGGUUAUGUCACUUUGUAUGCAAAUUUUUUCUCUUUAACCUCAUCUUGAUGAAUUGUUUUUAGCCAAAUCUUUUGGGAAUUCAUGACUAGUAGUGGUAUGUUUGAAUGUGUCAUCCCAUCGCCAACUACUCUCAUUUAUUUAUGUUUAUUCCUAUUCUCAUUCAAUUAAAAAUAUUUAAAUGGAGUGGUGUAGGUGUAGAAAAUUUCUAUGCAUACUUGUCCGGUUUAAUUUUUUUACAAUUUUCUUUUUACCUUUAAAUUUUUUAAUAUAAAUAUAAUUUGUAAUUAUAAAUAUUAUAAAUGUUUAUAAUUUUUAUGAAAAGUAAAUUUUUCUAUUUUAUAGAUGUUACAAAAUUGAAAAAUAAAAAAAUUAACAAUAUCAUUGCUUGAACCCACUUGGAACCUAUCCUAGGUUUAAAAACAAUCUCCCAAAUUCAUUUCAAACUCGUUUAUUUUUAUCUUAAACUCGACUUAUUAAGGGUUGAAAAUGGGUUGGGUAUUCGAAAAAAUCCACCCCCUUGUCAUCCUUAUUUCUUAGCACAUCAUCCAUUAUUUAUGUAUAUACAAGUUAGGCAGUGUUUUAUGCAAAGAUUAUACAAAUGUGAUGAUUAUAUUAUUAUUUACAAGAAUUAUGAAAUUUUUUAUAUUAUUAUAUUAUUAUGCUAUUGUUAACCAAAACCACACACGCGAGUAGAAAAUUAAGAAAAAAACAAGAUAUUAACGUGAUUUGGCGAUCAAUAUGAUCCAUAUAUCCAUGAAGUGCACUAACACUCAACAAUCCACUAAUAAAAGAAAAGAGGAGUACAAUGGUGAAACUCUAGAAAAGAACUCUCAAUUGCGGCCACACUUUCUAAAAAGUAAAACCUUAAAAUAUAAAAAGGUUAAAUAUAUAAUAGGGGCAAAUUCGAUCUCCAUGAGCUUAACAUAGAGUUCAACCCCCAACAUCCUAAGUGAAAUGCAACAAAAUUGAUUCAGAUUUCACAAUCCAACAACUAUUAUAUAGUUUUCAAUGAUGAUUAACUGCAUUGUUUAAUAAAAUUUUUGCUUCUCACCUUUUCAACUUUGUCAAACUCUUAAAUACUACUAUUGUAAUUCAUUCUACUGGUUGGUUUUAUAAUUUCAUUCAUCGCUCUCUUACUCUUCAAUGUAAGAGGGUGUUUGUUUUUUUGGCUUUUUGCUAAAAACUAUUUAUUUUCAGAAUUUAGGUUGUUUGUUUUUCUACUUUUUCAUGAUUUAUUAUAAACUUUUUAUUGAAUAGAAAAAACCAAAAUAUGUAGCUUUUUCUAAAUAGAAAAAAUAACAUAUUGGUUUUUUUUUUUACUUUUUAAUACUUAAAAGAAAUAAAAUAGUACAAAAACAAACAACCUAAUAUUUAACACUAUUAAGCAUUAAGGUUCUAUUUAAAAUAAAGUAAAAAAACAAACACCACCUAAGUGUGUUAAUAUUGGUGUGGGAAAACAUGCUAAAAUGCUACAAUGCAUUUCCUCAUCCAUUUAAAAGGCAAUUUGGGGAAGUCAAAAGACCUGUUUUAGCUAUUGAAUAUUAAAGACAUUAUUCUUUCAUGUAGUGCCAUGAAUGAUACAUUGGUUUUUCUCUUUGGCUUCCAAGAAUAGUGAUAUAUAUGUAAUUGAUUUUGUAGUUUGAAUUAAUGUCUCAAAUUCCUAAUUGAUAUAUAUUCCUUUAGAUAAAAAAUACGGUUAACAUAUUUCCUAUAUUGAUCAUUGUAAUAUUAGAUUUGCUUAUUGUAGAACCUCAGACGUUACCAACUCUCCUAAAAGCAAUUGUUGUUAGGAAAGGCACAUACCCUAGCCUUAUAAUGCAUUCACCCAAGCGCCCACGGCGAACACAAGGGGAGUUGAUGGACGCGGCCAACCCUCCGAUCUGCUAACAAUCUCCCCCUCAACGACACCCCUGGGGUUCGAACCCGUGACCUCGGCUCUGAUACCACUUGAGAAAACAAAGGCUAUGCUUAGUUAAGAAAAACACCCAAAAGGGGAGUGGGGGCGAGUGAAUUGGGUUUUUAAAAUAUUUUCAAUUCACAACAAAUUCAAACACAAUAUAAGCAAAAUAAAGAGAUAGAGUUUAGAGAAGUCAAACUCGGGUUUAUAGUGGUUCGACACUUCCUUGCCUAGGUCCACUCUCCUCAAUCUCUUAACCGAGUGAGGGUUCUACUAACUUGAAGCUUCAACCAAGCUUUCAAUCUUCUUACACUUGGAUUCCGACUCCAAUGGGCUCUUACACAAUCUCUUCAAGAUUCAAACCUCUUGAAGGCUUUGACACUAAGAUUUUUACAAGAAAUGAUCCCUCAGCCUAGCUUAAGGAUAGCUCAAAUACAAGAUAAAGCUAGGAUGACACACAAGAGUGCACUAAAGGAUAUGCAAGUGGUGAUUUAAUGCACUAUGAAAGAAAUGAGAGCUUUUUGAUCAAGAACAGGUAGGUGGGCUAUUGAAUGCAAGUGUUCUCUUGUCAAUAAAUGAAGUAGAGCUCUCAAUUUAUAGGCUUCUAAGCUCGGGAGUCAAAAACAGCAAAAGGUAACCUCGUUCGAUCGAGCUAGGGGUUGACCGGUUCACUAGCCGUUGGAGCAUUUAAUGCAAGACAGGUUACCAUUGCCUCGACCAGACCUCGAUCAGUAAAAGAAUCCCCUAGACCGGGAAGAGAAGGCCACUGGGAGAGAGAGAAACUUUUUGGCCUCCAUCGAUCGGUCCUCGACUAGACGAGCACAACCGGUCGACCGAUUCCUCAACUGGUUGAACCGGUUGGCCAUAGCCUCGACCAGUUGAGCCUUUUUGGCCCCGAAAACCUAUUUUUUUAAUUCCUUUCUUUUCUAACACUUAGGCAAGGUCUUUAGGUUAAUUAUUAAGCCAAUUAUAAAACAUUUUACCUAAGGUACAUUAGUUAAAAACUUGAGUUUUAAUGAAAUCAAAGUUUUAAAGAAUAAACCGAGUUUUCUAAGUUGCAUGAAACGUAUGAAAAUCCUAAGUGCACUCAUGCAUUCAUCUUACAUUAGUUUCCUAUGAUCACAAGUCUUCCAAGCAUCUCGAUCUUGUAUCCAUUUGGUCAUUUGAUGAAUUUUCGAGUUUAUGCCUGAGAUUCUUAACCAUUAAACAAAUUAGUCACUUAACCAUGGUUUGUUAUCAUCAAAACCCAAUUAGGAGAACCCUUGGGCUAACAAUCCCCUCAUUUUUGAUGAUGACAAACCUUGGUUAUCUAGGAGAGAAAAAAAAAUCUCCCUCUCAAACCAAUCAUGGAUCAAUCAAACAAUUUUUAAUAGGAAACAAUGUAAAACACGAAAAUUUGAAUAGGAAGCAAUAGAUCAUGAAAAUAUCAUAUCAUAUAUAUAUGGAAACCUCACAUGUACACACAAGAUAGAAAUGAUAAUGAUGACAAUGACAUGCAUGAGGGUCUCCUAGAUUUUAUAUAUUUCUCCCCAUUUGGCAACAUAAAAAAGAAACAGAGAGGGAACUCUAGAUAAUUUCAAGGCUGAGGGGGUGGAGGAGGAAACACAGAGCAGAGGUAAGCCAUCAUCUCCUUAUGCUGACUCACUUGACGACUCUCAAUGUGAUCAAUGCUCUGUUGGAGAUGCUCAAAUGUAGCCUGUUGUUGAUCCAUACGCUCCUCUAUGCGCUCAAAUAUCUGCUGGAAGUGAUCAAAUCGAGAAGUGACUCCAGUUUGAUACUGAUCCAUGUGCUCCUUCAUAGAGUAGAAGCGAGUGUCAUGGACUAAAGCAAGCUCCUCUAUACGAGUCCCAAGGGAGCUGAUCUUAGUUGAGACAUCCAUCUAAGGCGCAUGAUCAGGAGCGUGAGGAGCCUGAGAUGGUAGCUCUGUGUGAGAAAACUCGGUAAAUGAUGGCUGAGAUGAUGGUCCUAUUGUGUAAGAAGGCUCAAUCAUCAUAGGCUCUGAGAAAGUGGCCUCAACAUGAAUGCCCUUUGACUGAGGUGGAGGGGAAAUGUCAAGCUCGGGCCCUCUCUGCUCAAAAUCCCUCUGAGGGUCUAACCCAUCCUCCAUCUCUCUGAUCUCGGCCUCCUCCUCUGUUCCGAGAUGCAUCUGUCCUUGAACCCUAGCCUGUCGCUCAGCUCUCCUAAUCUAAGAGCCAUCGGGUGCCUUCUCGAACUUCAUUCGCCCUAAGAACUGCUCAUUGUGCGUGUCAUAGCUAGUGGGGGCCUCGAAGUCCGUCUCUCUACUCAAUUCGACCCUAGCAUCCUUGAAUACUCGGGUAAGGAAGCGGUCGUAGGGGAGUACUCGUGUCAUGCUCUCAACACAAGAUAUCAUAUGCAUCAUCAUCAGAUAUCCCACGUGAAUCCGUUUCUCGAUGAGGAUCGAGUCCACAAUAAAUGCCUCAAGGUAGGAGACCUCGUCUGGAUGUCCUCCUCGUGGUAAUAAGAUGGAGCAAAUCAUGUGAUGGAGGACUCGACUAGGCACGGUCAGGUUGUGUGCCGAUGGUUUGCCCAUUCCCUGGGCAUUUGCGAGUCCACAUAACCUCUGAACAACCUCUCUAGGCUCGAAUCUCGGCACAGUGGGCCACGCCUUGGCCUCAUACACUCGGAGUCCAACUGAAGGAAUGUCGAGAAUGUGGCAGAUACUCUAAGGGCUCAAUCUGAUCUCAACUCCUCUCACUGUGGACAAUACUGGUUCUCCAAACCCAUAGGUCGCCCGGGAAUAAAAAGCCCGCACCAGAGUCAGGAAGAUUAGCUCGAAAAUUGUCACAACUGGCAGCCAUCCCAUUUGACUGAAGAGUCCCUCAAACUCGAAGUGCUAAAGCUGGGAGAAAUUAACACUUCUCCCUAGGAUGACUUUCCUUUGGGCGAACUUUUACUUGUAUUGCUGAUAGUGUUUGACGGAAUUGAAGAAGGUCGUGUCAUACCUCGCCUUUUGGCGAGCCUCCAUCUGCUCAGGUUGAGAUGGCUCAAUAGGGCACUUGCCCUGAGCCCUAGAGAUGCCCGUCUCUUGCCUUGGAGCCAUCCAAUGAACAGAAAUGAGAAGGAGGAGUCCAAAAGGAGAAUGAAAUCAAACAAGAGAGAGCAAACACCAACCCGAAGCCCUAGGCGCACGGAGAUGAGGCUGAAUCCAAUCUUGAGGCGUGCGGUCAGAGAGAAAUCACCCCAAAAAAUUGAAACCCUGGGUUUCAAAUCAAAACCCUAGCCUCAAGGUGUCCCAAAGUCAAAUCCACAACCUGCAAUUAGUUCGAAAUCUUGCCAAAACUAACUUCUGGUAGCAGGAAUGUGAAGGGUCUUCAAGGUAUGGAGGAGAACAGGUGAAAAAUGAAGCGCGCAUGUGAGGGGGGGGGGGGGGGGGGCUUUUUAAAUUCCUAGCCCCAACGAACCGGUCGACUGGUUGGUCAACGAUCAACGGUCACGGUCAAUGGUCCAAUUUUUGCAUUUUCUUGUCUCAUGAUCCUUCCCCUGCCCUUUUCAGUUGAAAUCCCCAAUUUUUUUAUGUCUAAUGCCAAGAGAAUUUUGAUUUUUGGUCAAAAUUUGACCUUUUUCCUAAGAUUAUUUCUAUAUGAUGCAUAUGAUAUGAAUUUCAUGCAAUCAUAAGGUAUAUUCAAUCAAGAAUUCAUCAAGCAAUCAUUUGAUCACAAAGAAAUCACCCCUAGUUGUCUUCUAAUAUCAACAAAUUGCUCUUCACUUAAAGGUUUUAUAAAAUAUCGGCAAAUUGAUCUUUUAUGCUUACAAAUUCAAGUGUAAUGUCACCCUUUUGUGCAUGGUCUCUAAGAAAAUGGUGUCUUAUCUCUAUAUGCUUAGUCCUAGAGUGUUGCACCGAAUUUUUUGAAAUGUUUAUGGCACUAGUGUUAUCACAUUUAAUAGGAACAUGCUCAAAAAUCAAAUUGAAAUCACUAAGUGUUUGUUUCAUCCAAAGGAUUUGUGCACAACAUAAACCGGCUGCUAUGUAUUCCGCUUCCGCCAUAGACAAAGCUACCGAAUUUUUCUUCUUACUAUGCCAUGAAACAAGUGAGUAUUCUAGGAAAUGACAAGUGCCACUAGUGCUUUUCCUCUCAACUUUACAAUUGGCAAAGUUGGCAUCCAAGUAUCCAAUUAAUUCAAAGUUAUCACCCUUAGGAUACCAUAGGCUUAUGUCCAUUGUCCCUUUUAAAUAUCUAAGAAUUCGUUUUACAACACUUAAAUGAGAUUCUUUAGGACAAGAUUGAAAUCUAGCACACAAACAUACACUAUACAUGAUGUCGGGUCUACUAGUAGUCAAAUAUAGCAAAGAACCUAUCAUGCCUCUAUACAUAGUUGAGUGGACGGACUUACCUUUGUCAUCCAUGUCAAGCUUGACGGAUGAACUCAUUGGAGUCUUCAUUGUUUUGGUUUCCUCCAUAUUGAACCUUUUGAGGAGAUCUCUUAUAUACUUUGCUUGAUUGAUGAAGGUUCCUUCCUUUAGUUGCUUGAUUUGAAGUCUAAGGAAGAAGUUAAGUUCUCCCAUCAUGCUCAUUUCAAACUCAUAUGCAUGCAUUUAGAAAAUUCUUCACAAAGAGAGACAUUAGUAGCUCCAAAAAUGAUAUCAUCAACGUAUAUUUGCACUAAGAGCAUGACAUUUUCUUUAGUUUUUAUGAAAAGAGUUGUGUCAAUUUUUCCCAUUUUAAAACCCUUUUUCAAAAGAAAUUUACUCAAUCUUUCAUACCAUGCUCUAGGUGCUUGUUUCAAACCAUAAAGUGCCUUUUUAAAAUUAGGAAAGUUAAAACUUUGAAAAUCGGGUGGUUGUUCAACAUAUACCUCUUCAUUUAUAAAGUCAUUUAAGAAAACACUUUUUACAUCCAUUUGAUAUAAAACAAAGUCUUUAAAACAUGCAAAGGCAAGUAGCAUCUUAAUGGCUUCCAAUCUAGCUACGGGAGCAAAGGUUUCUUCAUAAUCUAUCCCUUCUUCUUGAUUAAAACCUUGGGCUACCAAUCUUGCUUUAUUCCUUAUAAUUAAGUCAUUUUCAUCCAUUUUAUUUCUAAAGAUCCAUCUAGUUCCAAUAACUCUUUGAUUUUGAGGUAUUGACACUAAUUCCCAUACUUUACUUCUUUCAAAUUGGUUUAACUCUACUUGCAUAGCAAUUAUCCAAUUUUCAUUAACUAGUGCAUUUUUUUAUAUUUUUAGGUUCAAUUUGAGAGAUAAAAGCAAGAUUAUUGCAAAUAUUUCUAAGAGAUGAUCUAGUUCUUAACCCACUAGAUGAAUUACCUAUAAUUUGAUCUUGUGGGUGGUUGAUGACAAACUUCCAAUCUUUAGGGAGGUCUUGGCUUGAUUCACCUUGCACUUGUUGAGGAGGAGGUAAUGCCAAAGGUGAUUUUUCUUUCUUGGGAUCCUCUACAAUUUCUUCUUGUUGCCUUCUAUCUUCAAUUUGUAAUUUUCCUAUGAAAGUCUACAAGCCUAAAUCAUCAUCAAAUCUCUCUCUUUCUUGGAGAGAAUUGUUAGAUUCAUAAAAAAUAACAUGGAUGGACUCCUCAACAACCAUGGUUCUUUUGUUAAAAACUUCAAAGGCUUUACUUGAAGUUGAGUAACCAAGAAAAAUUCCAACAUCCGAUUUUGCAUCAAAAUUUCCAAGAUUGUCUUUGGUGUUUAAUAUGAAGCAUUUGCACCCAAAGACUUUGAAAUAGCUAAUGUUGGGUUUCUUGUUUUUCCAAAGCUUAUAGGGAGUUUUCUUAAGAAUAGGCCUUAAUAAAAUUCUAUUUAAAACAUAACAAGAAGUGUUAACCGCUUCGGCCCAAAAGUAUUUUGGUAAAUUGUUUUCAUUUAGCAUGGUUCUAGCCAUUUCUUGAAGAGUUCUAUUUUUCCUUUCAACUACCCCAUUUUGUUGAGGAGUUCUAGGAGCCGAAAAAUUGUGGUUAAUACUAUGCUCAUUGCAAUAGUCUUCAAAAUCAAUAUUUUCAAAUUCUCUUCCAUGAUCACUUCUUAUACAAGUAAUUGUAAAACCCUUUUCAUUUUGAACCUUAUUGCAAAACUUUGAAAACUCAUAAAAGGCUUCAUUAUUUUGACUUAAAAAUAAGACCCAAGUGUAUCUAGAGAAGUCAUUACAAUAACAAAAGCAUAAGAUUUUCCUCCAAGGCUUGGUGUCUUAGAGGGACCAAAUAAAUCCAUAUGCAACAAUUCAAGAGGCCUAGUUGUUGAAAUGAAAUUUUUGUUUUUAAAAGAGUUUUUGAUUUGCUUUCCCAUUUGACAAGCUUCACAAACUUUGUCUUUUUGAAAAUUUAUUUUGGGAAAGCCUUUAACAAGUUCAUCUUUGUUAAGUUGGGAAAUGAGGUCCACGUUAGCAUGUCCCAACCUCCUAUGCCACAACUAACUUUGAUCAUGCAUGCUUGAAAAGCAUCUAUCAUGGCCAUCGUAUUUUGAAAUAUUUAUUGCAUAAACAUUAUCACAUCUAUGGCCCAUGAAGAUGGUUUUAUCAUUUUGAAUAUCUUUAAUGAUGCAAUGAGAUGCUUCAAAAAUCACUUUAAAACCUUUGUCACAAAGUUGACUUAUGCUCAAAAGAUUAUGUUUUAAACCAUCCAUUAAUAAAACACUUUCAAUAAGAGAGGAUGUGCCAUUACCAAUGUUGCCUUGACCAAUGAUCCUUUCUUUUGAAUUGUCUCCAAAGGUAACGUAUCCUCCCUUUCUCUUUGUAAGGAAAGCAAACUUGGAUUCAUCCCCGGUCAUGUGUCUUGAGCACCCAUUAUCCAAGAAUCACUUAUCCUUCUUUGAUCCCUACAAAAUAAAAUUUAAGUUGAUUUAGGUACUCAUAUCUUUUUGGGUCCUUGAGGGUUAGUGACCUUGGAUUUCUCAACCCAUACCUUUUUAGCUUUAGCAUUUGAAAUCUUUUGAGAACCAUUUCUUAAGGGACAUGUACUACUAAUGUGCCCUCCUCUUCCACAAAAGUUACAAGUGGUAGAAGAACUUGCACUUGCGGAUUCUUUUACAAAGUAGUUUUAAAAAUACUUUUGAUUUUUUGAAGAUUUGAAUCCUAGCCCUUGUUUGUCAAAGACGCAUUUUUGGCUAGCUAAGAUCAUUUCAAAAGAUUUUUGUCCACAAGAGAAAAUUGAAAGAGAGGAGGUUAACCAUUCAUUUUUCUUUUUCAAAAUCUCAUUUUCACUCCUCAAAAUCUCAUUUUCUUUUUCAAGAUGAGUUUUAGAUAUUUCAACAAUUGAAAAUUUUCUUUCACUUCUUCAAGUUCCUUUUCAAGUUCUUGAAUUUUCUUUUUAAGAGAAUUAUUUUUCAAACUAAGUUUUUCAAAAUCCUCAUAUAAUUCUCCAAAAACAUCAUGCAUAUCUUCAUCACUAAAGUUAGAGUUUACCUCAUCAAGAUCAUCUAUUGCCAUGAAGCACAUGUUUGCCACUUCCUUCUCAUUUUCUUCUUCGAAGGAUUCUUCACUUUCACUCCAAGUGGCCAUCAUUGCCUUCUUCAUUCUUCUCUUGGCUUCACUCUUGUAGAGAGGACAAUCAUAUUUAAUGUGUCCCGGUUUUUUGUACUUGAAGCAUAUCAAAUCUCUUUUCUCUUCCCAUUUCUCCUUGUCACCAUGGGACGAGGAUUCCUUUUUAGAAGGAUCUCUUCUAGAGGUGAACUUCCUUCCUCUAAACCUUUCACCUCUCAUGUAUUUGUUGAGUUUUCUUGUGAUGAGGACUAAAUCAUCAUCUUCAUCACUUGGUUUUUCCUUUUCAACAUCUUCUUCUUCCUUGGUUGUAGCUUUGAGGGCUAUGCUCUUCUUCUUUUUGUCUUCACCCUCUUGUAGCUUCUUUGUCAAAUUGAUCUCAUAUGUCAUUAAUGACCCUAUAAGCUCUUCCAUAGGUAGCUUAGUCAAGUCUUUUGCUUCUUGAAUUGCGGUGACCUUGGUGUGCCACUUUGACGGGAAAGACCUCAAUAUCUUCAUCACCUUCUCUUGUAGGACCUCAGGCGCUACCAACUCUCCUAAAAGCAAUUGUUGUUAGGAAAGACGCAUAUCCUAGCCUUAUAGUACAUUCACCCAAGUGCCCACGGUGAACACAAGGGGAGUUGAUGGAUGCAGCCAACCCUCCGAUCUGUCAACACUUAUAAAAAUAAGAAAAUUUAUUAUUAAUGUCUUUAUAAAUAUUUUAGGUGGAAAAAUAUUAUGAGAUGGAGAUGACUUGUGAGAACUAUACAUGAUAUAUGGAGAUGUGAGGAAGAGUAGGUCGAAGACAUUUAGUGGAAUAAGGGAGCUGAGCUUACUUCAUACUUUAUAAUAUAGAUAUAAGAAGUGGAGAACAUAUAUACAAUGUUUGAUGGCUUAAUAAUUUUAUCUGGUUUCUACCCCCAGUAAUAUGUCUAGAUCAAGAAAUUAAUACUUUGAGAAAGAUCAAUGAUCUAAUUUGAAUUAAUACACGUCAUAGAAAUCUCAAAAUUGGUAUGCCUUUUGCAAUGAUAUGCCUAUUAACUUUUAUUCAAAUGUUAUCUAAUAAAUUUGCCUAAAUCAAGAUUAAUCAAUGAAUAUAUAUAAUGAGAGAUCUCAUCAAAUUAUAUCUAAUAAAUUAGUAUUAUGAGAUCUAACUCAACUAUAUAUAAAUUGUUCAUGAUUUAAGAACCAAAUAUUAACUCAUGUAGUUAUAUUAAAAUAAUUUUUAUUUUUUCAUUGAUGCCAUAUGUUUUUAUGAAGCUUAUAUACCAUGAUGUCUAUUUUAUUCAAAUUAUCUUGUUUACAAUUUUUGUGAGAAGCCACUUUCAACAAUAUAUUUAAGAAUUCCGAUUCUAAAGUAUGAGAGUCUAAAAUUAAUUCUUCUUUUAGGAUCUUAAUAGAAAAAAGAGUUUAGCAAGUUAUAAAUAACCUACUAAAUAGUCUAUGAAAAAAUAAUUAAGAAAAGUAGGGUCCAUUUUAAACCUUUAACUUUGAGAAUAGAUUUUUGACACCAUUGAUAUAUUUUUUCUAUUGAAACGAGUUUUAAGAAAUUUGUUCUCGAAGUAGGUUAUUUUAAAAAAAAAAUUUGAUGUAUUUUAAGGUGUUUUUUUUAAAAAUAUUUUGAUAAAUAAUUAAAAAUAUGAGAAUACUUUGAUAAUUUCUAUACAAUUGACCUUUAUGGAGAAUUUAAGUAAAUAAUUAGGGUUUGUUUGUCAUCUGUUUUCCCCAAGUGGAUUUAUGUUUUUGAGAACUAAGAAAUGUUUCAAAAAUAUUAUCCAAAUGAACUAUUAAACCCUUAAUCUAUAUGCAUCUUAAGUGGGAAACAAAUCAAAUGAACUUCAAAUGUAUCUCUAGAGAAAAAGAAAAAAGGAAAAAGAGCUAUGAGAAUUUUACUGUAUUGAUGAUAAAAAAAGACCAAGAAUUUGUUGAAUGUGAAAUCAACAACUUCCAAAUUAUUAGAUUGUCUCAUAUUGGUGAAAGCCAGCAAGUUGAAUUUUCUUGGAAAAGAGAGAGAAGAUGAGAGUUUGUUAUUGGUUUGAAAGAGAGACAAUUAUGAAUGUGAAAGAGGAAUAGUGAUGAUUAUAUACCCUAAACAGUUAUGCAAGAUUGUCAUUAAACUCAACCCCCGACAUAUUACCACCUUGCCAUCACAUGGUUUUAUUAUAUAUAAAAUAAAAUAAUAAAAAGAUAGACAUCAAAUAAAUUAAAAUUUUAUCCCUUGCUUGGAUGCUGAAUUUUUUAAAUUAUCUUUUAUUUUUCUUUUCGAACAAUGUUAUCAAAUACUUUGUUAUAUUAGUUUUUACAAAGCAUAAGAUAUGUUAUAAUUUUUAUUUUGCUCUUAUGUGCUAUAGUAUUUUUAAAAUCUCUACUAAGUAAAAUAAAAACAUUAUAAAAUAUCUUAUGUCUUAGAAAAUCUAAUUUAACAAAAUAUUUGAUUGGUGUUCCAAAAGAGAAAAUAAAAUUAAGGUAAUUUAAAAAAUUCACCACCAAAGGUUAAAAUUUCAAUUUACAUUUUUUGAUGUUUGAAUUACACAUUAUGUAUAAAUAUUCUUUUACUAAAUUAUUUUAUAUAUAAUAAAAACAUGUGGUGGCAAGGUGGUAAUAUGAAGGUUGUUGAGUGUAAUGACAAUCUUGCAUAACUGUUUAGAGUAUAUAAGCAUCACUAAUCCUCUUCCACAUUCACAACUGUCUCUCUUUGGAACCAAUUAACAAACUCGCUCCCGCUUUCUCUCACUUUCCCAAGAAAAUUCAAUCAUAUACUUUGGAAGUUGUUGAUUUCACAUUCAACAAUUUCUUGGUCUUUUUGGUCAUCAGUCCGGUAAAAUUCUCUGAACUCCUCUUCCUUUUUCUCUGGAGAUCCAUUUCGAGUAGUUCAUUUGCUUUGUUUCUUGUUGAAGAAUCAUAUAUGUUUCUCUAUCACUUUCUCUCACUUUCGGUCUCGCUUCCUCCAGAAAAUUAAAUUCAACUUUGCUAGCUUUCAAGAAUCUGAUAACUUGGGUGUUGUUGAUUUCAUAUUCAGCAAUUUCUUCUCUGUGUUGUUCAUCAGCGAUCAGGUACAGAUUCUUUAAUCCUUUGUUUCUUUUUCUUGAUAUCCUCGUCAAGUACAAUUUCUUUCUCAGUUUCUUGGUCAAGAAUCUGAAACUCAAAUUCACUUGGAAGUUGUUAAUUUCUGUUUUCUAAUCAGAUUCCCUUUUCACUUGGAAGUUGUUUCUUUCAAAUUAAUCCAACAUGUAUGCUAAUUUCAGGUACAUUCCCCGAUUGAAUCCUUUUCAUCUCAACUCUCAUCUUCUUUAUGAAAUUUUUGUUCUUUCUGAUCUUAAACUUAAUUAUAAAUGCAUCAUUACUGCUCAGCUGGCCCAACUGCCGACCACCCACAUCAACACCGGACCCAACUCCAGCACAGGAUCCCAACCCAACUCCAACAUGGCUCAGCUGUCAUUACUGCUCUCGGUUCUUUAUUAGCAACCUAAAUGUUCGAGUAUGUCUCUCUCCAUAUAUCAGAAAUUAAUUGGAGCAUUUUAUGUUUUACAUUUUUCUUUUAUGUUUCUUUGAUGAAUGUUCUCCUUGUAGGGUGUUGUUGUACAAGCCAGGGAACCCAAUACUAGCUACUAUGUGGCUGAUUACAUGUAUGUUUUUUAAUGUGCUUGGUUGGGAAUAAAGAAAAAGAUCGAUUCUUAAUAAUUUGAAUUGUUACAGAUAGGGUAGCUUUAUUUUUGUGGAUUUUAAUCACAACAUAAGGCUACAUUUGUGUUUGUUCAUGGAUGCAGUACUAACACUUACCGUCCAGACGAUGGAUUAAUAAUUUCUGAAUGGAUUACAGCUGAAAAUGGGGAGAAUAAUUUGGCCUUGACCCGUAUCUACUGUGACAGAUGCAGACUACCUGCUGGCUGGAAAGUCGUAAGAAAUUAAUUUGGCCUUGUUGCUGUGAAUUUUCUGUUUUAUAUGUUGGCAAGCUCUAAUCUCAAGCUCAAUAUCUCGUCACAUGCAGCUUCAGCGGAGCCAAACUCACCCUAUUGUCGAUAUAGGCCACGUUUUGCUGCCAGUUACUCCUCCUGCUGCUUCUCCUUCUCAGCCAUAAUGGCUCAAGGACGUGGCUAAUGGCUGAUGGCUCUCCAUAUAUACAGUGGAUGUGGCUCGUGGCUGAUGGCUCUCCAUAUAUAGUCUCUGUUACUUAAGAAUCUCAAUACAGUAGUUAUCCAAUGCAAUGUACUUGUGAUGUAAUACCAAUUGCUAGCUAGUACCAGCUCUGUUUUCAGAAGCUUUCAUGUUGGGUUGAAUAAAUUCAUGAGAAUUCUAUGUCGUAAUGUGUAAAUGACUUCUUUUUCUUCAUGGUAUCCAAGUUGCAAUGCCCAAAAGAAAAUGGUUGAAAAUUUUUUGAGCUCUUCCAU
rnacentral:lncRNA from 1 species